GUAACAAGGUUUCCGUAGGUGAACCUGCGGAAGGAUCAUUACCAAUUCAACGGUGUGGUCGCGGCCUCCGGGGGCUCCCCCCGGGCGGUAGAGGUAACACUCUUACGCGCCACAUGUCUGAAUCCUUUUUUUACGAGCACCUUUCGUUCUCCUUCGGUGGGGCAACCUGCCGUUGGAACUUAUCAAAACCUUUUUUUGCAUCUAGCAUUACCUGUUCAGAUACAAACAAUCGUUACAACUUUCAACAAUGGAUCUCUUGGCUCUGGCAUCGAUGAAGAACGCAGCGAAAUGCGAUAAGUAGUGUGAAUUGCAGAAUUCAGUGAAUCAUCGAAUCUUUGAACGCACAUUGCGCCCCUUGGUAUUCCAUGGGGCAUGCCUGUUCGAGCGUCAUCUACACCCUCAAGCUCUGCUUGGUGUUGGGCGUCUGUCCCGCCUCUGCGCGUGGACUCGCCCCAAAUUCAUUGGCAGCGGUCUUUGCCUCCUCUCGCGCAGCACAUUGCGCUUCAGAGGGGUGUGGGCCGCGUCCACGAAGCAACAUUAUCGUCUUUGACCUCGGAUCAGGUAGGGAUACCCGCUGAACUUAAGCAUAUCAAUAA
rnacentral:misc_RNA from 1 species